GAUGAAGAACGUAGCGAAAUGCGAUAAGUAGUGUGAAUUGCAGAAUUCAGUGAAUCAUCGAAUCUUUGAACGCACAUUGCGCCCUCUGGUAUUCUGGAGGGCAUGCCUGUUCGAGCGUCAUUAAAACUACUCAAGCUAAGGUUUUACCUUCUGCUUGGUCUUGGGUUUGAGGAUUCAAAAUCCUCUCUCCGAAAUCCAGUGGCGAAUUGUUUGAGCUGUAGACGUAGUAAAUCAUUCUACCCGUUGCAAGCGAGAAUAAUAUUCAGCCAUAACCCCCAUACUUUUCUAGUUUGACCUCGGAUCAGGUAGGGAUACCCGCUGAACUUAAGCAUAUCAAUAAGCGGAGGA
rnacentral:misc_RNA from 1 species